UUGGCGAUGGUUUUGUUUUUCCUAGCUUGGGUUUUGUAAUGGAUGGAUUUGGAUGGGUUUUUGUUUCGAUUCAUUUAUUAUAAAGUUUGGGGAUUUCAGUCGAUCUGGAGUUUAGGGACUGUGGUUGUUGAAGCUCCAUUUCCCCAUUUUUAUUCGAGUUUGAUGGGGCUUUGAUAUGGGGUUUGAAUCUUGAUGGGGCUUGCCGCGGAGAAAACUGAAUGGCUUUGAUGUGGGGUAUGAAAUGCUCCGUUAAUGAGAGCUUCUGCACUCAGCAAAUAGUAUGGGUUGGGAUUUAUUUUUUUAAUCUGUUGAGGGCCAAGUUUCCUGUAGGUAUUUGUUGCUGCUGGCAUGCUGCUGCUGCUGUUGUUGAGGGCGUAGCCGGUUGCCUGUGGGCUGUGGGUAGAAAUAAAUGUCAUUUUCUUCUCCACCCUCUGUUUCUCAGCAAACAGAGACUCCCUCUGAUUAAUAAUAAUUUGAAGCUCUGUCCCUCGCCUCUCUUCCUCUCUGAGUAAUAAUGAUUGGAUUUUGGUUUUUAUUCGAGUUUUACUGAAGAUUUUUAUUUUCUUUUUGAUAAUUAUAUCGUCUCACUUGCUUGCUUACAUUAUCAAAUAACUAGAGCUUCUGUUUUGGAUAGUGAAAUUUGUAUUGUAUUUUUCUCUUCUCACCGGUGAUCAUGUUUUAAUUUGGAUAAUCAAUGUUCUUUUUUGUAAUAAUCAGGUUGAUGUUAUCCUGGUUGUGUAGUUCUUUUGUUUGAAACCGUCAAUAAUAUUGCAACAAAAAUGGGACUUGCAUAGGUUGUCCAAGUUAUAGCAUGGCAAAAAUGAGUUGUCUUUAAAUCAGUUUCGAUAGUUUCUAUCUGUUUGACCUACCUACAUACUUCUUAUGUAAUGAAAAUUAAUAUUGAGGGUUCUUUAGUCCGAAAGUAGUACAUCCAGUGGACCUUUGUGAAUUGAUCUCAACUUUUCAUGUCUUAUGUUAAAACUCUCUGACUCUUUAGCUAGUAUUUAAACAGCCUAAUUUUUUGUUUUUCCAAAAAAAUAAAUAGUCUGGUUUCUAAGGAUAUGAAGUACUAACCUCUAUUUCAUAUGAUUAUAAUCUCUAAGAUACAUAAAUGUCAUCAUAAUACCUUUACAAUUUCUCUGGGAUUUCAAUUCAUAGUAAUCAUUAUAUGACUAUUGUAAUCUUGUUUCCUACAUUGUUUUAUUUAGAGGAUUUAAAUCAAUAUGAUUUGGGGUAUUGUUUUAGAUUGAUUGUCAUUUUGUGUGGUUUUAUGUGGUUUUUUUAGCUGUGGCAGUAGAGGAGCAUCCAUAUAAAUAGCAGAAGUUUGAUGCAGAGUUUAAGUGCAACGGGGUUCUCUUAAUGUGGUGAAGAAGACUUGUUGAAAAGGACAAGCCGGGCUGUGAUAUCAUGUUUAUAUUGACGGCUAAUUUGUUUGGGUCAAGUGGUUAGGGAUCACUAGAUUUUGUCGGGCUGUAUGGUAAAUUAUACUGUUUAUAAGAUUUGAGGCUCAUGCUUGUUACUUUCGGAAAAUAAAAUUUUAUCUUAUAGAUUUUGAAAAUAAAUUUAAACGGAUUUGAUAUUUAGAAUUAAAAGUGAACAAGUUGGAGCAUCUAUUGGGGGGGGGGGGUGCAAAGUGGAUCGUAGGGCAGGAGAUUGUUUCAUCUCGGCCGGGCAGACCACAACACCGACCAGUCAAGACCACAGUUCUGCUUAGAAUCAGCUCGAUCGCGGACUCCGCCGGAGGCUCAGUUGACCUCAGUCGGAUUUCUCCGCUGCUACGACCUGCAGCAACCUCUUCUGAUGCUUAUAAUGAUGUUUUGGCCUGAGCUCGGAACGUCCUGCUGUAUUAGCUGCGAGCCAAAGAGUAAGUAUAGAGCAUAUGCGAUGAUGAAUAAAUAUCUAGUAUCUAAUCUUUUGUUUUUCUUUUGGAUUAGAUAGUUGAAUUUUUCUAAUAUAUAUCUAUAUGCCAUGGUCCAUGUUUGGAUGAGAAAUGUGGGGUUUCACUUUCCAUGCUACUUAAAUUCCACACAGAUUAGGUAUAAGCUGGAAGCUUGCAGGAUAAUGACACN
rnacentral:lncRNA from 1 species